GAUGAACGCUGGCGGCGUGCCUAAUACAUGCAAGUCGAGCGAACAGACGAGGAGCUUGCUCCUCUGACGUUAGCGGCGGACGGGUGAGUAACACGUGGAUAACCUACCUAUAAGACUGGGAUAACUUCGGGAAACCGGAGCUAAUACCGGAUAAUAUAUUGAACCGCAUGGUUCAAUAGUGAAAGACGGUUUUGCUGUCACUUAUAGAUGGAUCCGCGCCGCAUUAGCUAGUUGGUAAGGUAACGGCUUACCGAGGCAACGAUGCGUAGCCGACCUGAGAGGGUGAUCGGCCACACUGGAACUAAGACACGGUCCAGACUCCUACGGGAGGCAGCAGUAGGGAAUCUUCCGCAAUGGGCGAAAGCCUGACGGAGCAACGCCGCGUGAGUGAUGAAGGUCUUCGGAUCGUAAAACUCUGUUAUUAGGGAAGAACAAAUGUGUAAGUAACUAUGCACGUCUUGACGGUACCUAAUCAGAAAGCCACGGCUAACUACGUG
rnacentral:rRNA from 1 species